GCGGUGCGCCUUAUGCAUGCAAGUCGAGCGAAGCUUUUCAGUAGUUUACUACAGAAAAUGACUGAGCGGCGAACGGGUGAGUAACGCGUGAGCAACCUACCUUAGUUACUGGGAUAGCCCGAGGAAACUCGGAUUAAUACCGGAUAUUCUUAUUUAAUCACAUGAUUUUUUAAGGAAAGGUCAGCCGAACUAAGAUGGGCUCGCGUUCUAUCAGCUAGUUGGUAGGGUAAUGGCCUACCAAGGCUACGACGGAUAGCUGGUCUGAGAGGACGAUCAGCCACACUGGGACUGAGACACGGCCCAGACUCCUACGGGAGGCUGCAGCAGGGAAUAUUGCGCAAUGAGCGAAAGCUUGACGCAGCGACACCGCGUGUGGGAUGACGGAUCUAGGUUUGUAAACCACUUUCAGGAGGGAAGAAAAUGACGGUACCUCCACAAGAAGCCCCGGCCA
rnacentral:rRNA from 1 species